AACUUAUAUCAACGAAUUUACUGGUUUCUACAUUGAUAAACAACACAAUGUUAUGCGAUAAGUAAUAUUGUUUACAGAUUUGGGUGAAUCAUCGAGUCUUCGAGAGCACAUUGCAUCUUAGGGUGUGUUCCACAAGACAUGCCCUUUUGAAUGUCA
rnacentral:rRNA from 1 species